rnacentral:rRNA from 1 species
UGAAUACGAGACGCUAAGGCGUCGAAGUAGUGUAUGUCAUACUUCCAAGAAAAGCUUGCACUGUCAUAGAUAAAAAACGCCUGUACCAUAACCGACACAGGUGGGUAGGUAGAGUAUACUAAGGGGCGCGAGAUAACUCUCUCUAAGGAACUCGGCAAAAUAACUCCGUAACUUCGGGAGAAGGAGUGCCUUAUUCGUAAGGUUGCAAUAACAAGAUCCAAGCAACUGUUUAUCAAAAACACAGGUCUCCGCUAAGUCGUAAGACGAUGUAUGGGGGCUGACGCCUGCCCAGUGCCAGAAGGUUAAAGAAGUUGGUUAGCAAUUGCGAAGCUGAUAACUGAAGCCCUGGUGAACGGCGGCCGUAACGAUAACGGUCCUAAGGUAGCGAAAUUCCUUGUCGGGUAAGUUCCGACCCGCACGAAAGGCGUAAUGAUUUGGAUACUGUCUCGGAGAGGGGCUCGGUGAAAUAGACUCGUCUGUGAAGAUGCGGACUACCUGCACCAGGACAGAAAGACCCUAUGAAGCUUUACUGUAACUUGAAAUUGAAAUUGGACUUUAUUCGCGCAGUAUAGGUGGGAGGCGUUGAUUAUAAUCUUGUGGGAUUAUUGGAGCCAUCAGUGAGAUACCACUCUUGUAAUGUUAGAUUUCUAACUUUGAAUCAUUAUCUGGUCAAAGAACAGUUUCAGGCGGGCAGUUUGACUGGGGCGGUCGCCUCCUAAACGGUAACGGAGGCGUACAAAGGUUUCCUCUGAACGGUUAGAAAUCGUAUCUAGAGUGUAAAGGCAUAAGGAAGCUUGACUGUGAGACCUACAAGUCGAGCAGGGACGAAAGUCGGUCUUAGUGAUCUGACGGUACUGAGUGGAAAGGCCGUCACUCAACGGAUAAAAGUUACUCUAGGAUAACAGGCUGAUCUCCCCCAAGAGUUCACAUCGACGGGGAGGUUUGGCACCUUGAUGUCGGCUCAUCGCAUCCUGGGGCGGUAGUACGUCCCAAGGGUUGGGCUGUUCGCCCAUGAAGGCGGUACGCGAGCUGGGUUCAGAACGUCGUGAGACAGUUCGGUCCAUAUCCGGUGUAGGCGUUAGAAUAUUGAGAGGAGCCUUCUUUAGUACGAGAGGACCGAGAAGGACAUACCUCUGGUGUACCAGUUAUCGUGCCAACGGUAAACGCUGGGUAGCUAUGUAUGGAGUGGAUAACCGCUGAAAGCAUCUAAGUGGGAAGCCCACCUCAAGAUAAGUAUUCUCAUC